rnacentral:rRNA from 1 species
UACGUAGGGUGCAAGCGUUGUCCGGAAUCAUUGGGCGUAAAGCGCGUGUAGGCGGCUUGCUAAGUCCGCUCUGAAAGCCCGGGGCUCAACCCCGGGAGGCGGGUGGAUACUGGCAAGCUCGAGUCCGGAAGAGGCGAGUGGAAUUCCUGGUGUAGCGGUGAAAUGCGCAGAUAUCAGGAAGAACACCCGUGGCGAAAGCGGCUCUCUGGAACGGUACUGACGCUGAGACGCGAAAGCGUGGGGAGCGAACAGG